CCGCGUUGCUGCGGCUGCGCCGGGGCUGGAGGAGCUGGGAGAUUGCGCGGGCUCAGAGACCUGUAUUGGGACCAUGGCCCUGUCACAGGAAGGUGUCCGCGUUCGAGGGCAGCCUGUGGUUUCAGUGGGAACCUGAAGUGUAAAGCAUUUAAAAUACAGGAAAAAGGAAAAAAUAGCACAAAAAUAGUACAAAAUAGUAAAAAUAGAUACAAGUGUGAUUUAUAGGAGGGAGUCUUAAGGAGGGACUUCACACUGAUGCACCGAAACUGACGAAUUUGUGUUCCCCUCAACUAAAGAAUGGCCUGGAAAGUGCAACGUGGACGGGUGCUCAAGAGAAAAGUUAAGCUGGUUUACAGCAGCCUGGAAAGCAAAAUAUUUUCAGUAAUGUUCCUUCCAUAAAGAUCUUAGAUGUAUGUUAAGCACUCCGCUAGAGACCUGACAGGUCAAAAAUUCAGUAGACUUUUAUAUUACAGCAAUCAUGGUUUUAUUUUUGUUGCAUAUACAUUUUUUUUUAAUUUCAGGACAUCAGCCUACCAUCUGUGCCUAGUAGAAACCUCUUCCAUGGGUAUGUCACUGUACUAAAAGUGAUAAUAUUUUUCUCAUUAUACUAAUAUCCACUACUGGAAUUUUACAGCUUCCCUUGAAGCAUGCAAUACCAAUCCCUCUAAAAUGGAACGUAUCUCACAUGCCUACCAGCUCACAGCACUCUGCAAAUUGUAUAAACUGAUAGCCAAAUAUAGAAAUAACUUCAUCCCAUAGGCGGAAUGAAGCACAGCCACCAAUUUUUCUAUUAACAAAUACAAUAAAGCAAUUGUAAAUGGCUUCCUAGGGAAGGAAGUUAUGACCACACUACAACCAUCUGAAGAUGCAAGAAUAUGGAAAGCACAGGACGAAAACCUCUCAGAGACGUGCCUCGUCUGCAGUGCCAGCCGAGGCAAUUGGCAUGCGUGUCAGGUCAGCUUGGGAUCGAAUGUCCACUCUGCAGUCACACUCCAGUUGUUGCCUCUGCAGUGCCCCUGCGUUUCUCUGGGAGCUCUGCAGCCACGUGCACGCUCUCAUAGUGCAUUUUUGGGGGAAAAAACACCUCUGCUUUUUGCAUGAAUGUCAUCUUAGCCCAUAGACUUGGUUACUCUGAGUUUGGGAUGCUCUGGAUUUCCAUCAUUGGUCUCCCAUAGGUACAAAAUGUGGAUCCGGGCCAAAUGAUGACUUACACCAGUUGCUGAGAUGCAUGUAGCUUUUGCUGCAGAGCCAUGGAGGUGUCUUGGCGGUGGCUUGCUGCUCCGUGAAGACAGGGUAAUGCCCUGCCGGUGCAGGCAGACGUAGAGGCAGCUGAUGCGGACUGUAAUAGCUGUGGAAUUCCCUUGUGCUAAUCAGCAGUUUUGGAACGGGGCCACAAGCACGGAGAGCCGGGACUGUGCUACCCGACAAGCCUGGUGUAACCUGCAGUGGGCUGGAGGGAGGAAGGUCACUUCCCUGUACAUCACAGGAAGGUAGAGCCACAUGAGGCACCAAAAAACGUUUGUAAUGGUAGGAUGACAGAAUACUGGAAGGGCUUCCGGAGGCUCUGGAGUCUCCCCUCUUGGAGGUUUUAAGAACAGGUUGGGCAAAUGCUGCUCAGGAAUGCUGCAGGUAGAGUUGCUCCUGCCUCAGGGAGAGGGAUGGCUGACAUGACGUCUCAGGGUCCCAUCUGGCUGCAUAUUUCCCUGGCCACAUGUUGCUAAUUGGUUUGGAGUGGGCAGAUGAACCCCUGGGCUUGUGAAAGUGCACAUCUACAAGGCAGUGGCUGUUGAGUGUGCUUGGCUGGGCCUAACACGUGCUCAUUUCUUCUCCACCCCUCCCAAAGAGCGCUCACUUAUGUGAAGAGAGCAGACAGGACCCAAAGCUCUUGGCAGGGAAUGGUGUGGACAUUCAUUUGGGAUGCACCAAAAGGGGCCUCGAGAGGCAAAUUUUCCCAGUAUGAACAAACCAACUCUGCCUCUUUGGAAAACUCAGCAUCAGCACGUGUUUCCCCAGGUUCUCGUGGAGAUCCUGCAAAGCCCAGGCUGCCUCCUGUCAUAGACCCAUAACCCCACAGGAUAAGGGUUGGCACAAGGCUAACUGCAAGUACAAAGGCACGUUUUGCCAGCAGAAGGGUAGGGAGCUUGGCUCACACCCCUGUGGGGAUGCCAGGGCUGGUCAGGACAUGCCACAUGCAGCAUAGAGAAGGAGGGGAGGAGGUUAGCUGGGUAAAGGCAAAUGAUGCGUGGUGGGAAAAGGGAGUUGUGCCUGCUCAGGUGCUGUGAGACUGUGGGAGAGACAUCAGGGGACUGUACAAGGUGUUUUAGCAAUUCACCUUGUCUUUGGCUGAUGAAUUCCGGUCCAGAGCAAGAAAACAGAUGAGUAACAAGGAAGGAUCGCCUAGCAAAGGGUGCAUGGGAAAGCAUAAGGGCACUGGGAGUGCCGGUGUCAAUUAGCUGCUCCCUUUGUAGUAUGGGUGGCUUAGAAGUAGCAGCGUAAGUGGCUUUUGGGCUUUGGCCAACAGCAUCAGGACUGGCCUAAAAGCACCACCAGCCCUGGGUCACAGAUCUGAUGUUUUCAGGUGCUGCGGUGGGGUCAAUGCACAAAUACGAGCCCAAGGUCAGCCUCCAGUGAAGACCAGCUCAAUCGACAACAUUACUCCCAUCAGCUGAGCCCAUGUGGGGGGGAGGAAGACGAUUUCUCCAAAAAGUGUUUUGGAGAGACAGGUGUAGCUUUAGGACUUGCUGAACACACCAACUUGCUUGUUUCAUGACAGCAGACGUUACGAUGAACAAGAGCCUGUUAUCUCACUGGGUUUAUACAGGAAGGUUGGUCUCUGGCAUGCUGGAGAUGAAGGAGCUGCACGUGGUUGUGCAGCGGAAGACAUGCUCCUGGCAGCAGCUCUGUUCUGUUUCCUACAAAAUGUCCUAGCUGCCUCAGAGUUAAAAAAUCUGCUGCUGCCUGCUGGCACUUUCUAGCUGCCUGUGCUUGCAAGCGGUAUGAGGAGGAAACCCAGCCACUGUGCAUCUUGUAUCAUCAGGAGAGAAAAAGCGAGAUCCGUCUUUUUUCUUGCCCGUGGAGUUUUCAUGCAUCUUAAGCCCACAGAAGAGAAAAGCAAUUGAUUCACCCACUGUGCUGUCAACAAACACCCUGAUGAUUUAGCGGUUUUGUAACUGAGCAGUUUUUAAACAUUCACAGUGCAGACUGAGGAGGAAAACUACAGACACAGCUGCAUGGCUUUUUCCUUUUCUCUCUUUUUCAGAUUAAAAAAAAAAAAAAAGGAUGCAGCCGUUGCUUUCCUUUAAUAUGAGUCUUUGCAACAGUGAUUGUUCAGUAAUGUGUAAUAAAACAGAUUUGCACAGC